rnacentral:lncRNA from 1 species
CUUGAUUAUCGACACAUGAAAGUUUGUCAGCAUUGUCAAUCUUUUUAACGUUAAAGUACCAAUAGUUCGGUCACUACUCAAUUAAGUUUGUCGAUAACGUAGCUAAUUUUGACGGUAAAGAAACAUCAAUUCGAUCACUUCUCUGUUACGGGCUAUAUAGUUUAAAAAUAUAUUCUAGUGUUAAAAAUGUAAGAAAAUUCUUGAGAAAAUCAUUUCCCGC